rnacentral:rRNA from 1 species
UACGAAGGGGGCUAGCGUUGCUCGGAUUUACUGGGCGUAAAGGGCGCGUAGGCGGACAGUUUAGUCAGAGGUGAAAGCCCGGGGCUCAACCCCGGAAUUGCCCUUGAUACUGGCUGUCUUGAGUUUGGGAGAGGUAUGCGGAACUCCGAGUGUAGAGGUGAAAUUCGUAGAUAUUCGGAAGAACACCAGUGGCGAAGGCGGCAUACUGGCCCAAUACUGACGCUGAGGCGCGAAAGCGUGGGGAGCAAACAGG